AGAGUUUGAUCCUGGCUCAGGAUCAACGCUGGCGGCGUGCAUGAGACAUGCAAGUCAUACGGACGAUCAAAGCUUGCUUUGUUCGUUAGUGGCGGACGGGCUGAGUAACGCGUGGGUGACCUGCCCCGAAGUGGGGAAUAACUGCCCGAAAGGGUGGCUAAUACCGCAUGUGGUGGUGUAUUCGAUUACACCAGUAAAGCCGCAAGGCGCUUCGGAGGGGCCUGCGUACGAUUAGCUCGUUGGUGAGGUAACGGCUCACCAAGGCGACGAUCGUUAGGUGGUCUGAGAGGACGAUCACCCAGACUGGGACUGAGACACGGCCCAGACUCCUACGGGAGGCAGCAGUCGGGAAUUUUGCGCAAUGGACGAAAGUCUGACGCAGCAACGCCGCGUGAGGGAUGAAGGCCUUCGGGUUGUAAACCUCUUUUCUCAGGGAAGAUAAUGACGGUACCUGAGGAAUAAGCCACGGCUAACUACGUG
rnacentral:rRNA from 1 species